rnacentral:tRNA from 1 species
GGUGGCUCAGUGGAAGAGUGCUUGCCUUGCAUGCAUGAGACCCUGGGUUCCAUUCCUCAGCACCA